rnacentral:rRNA from 1 species
GACGAACGCUGGCGGCGUGCCUAAUACAUGCAAGUUGAGCGCUGAAGGUUGGUACUUGUACCAACUGGAUGAGCAGCGAACGGGUGAGUGACGCGUGGGGAAUCUGCCUUUGAGCGGGGGACAACAUUUGGAAACGAAUGCUAAUACCGCAUAAAAACUUUAAACACAAGUUUUAAGUUUGAAAGAUGCAAUUGCAUCACUCAAAGAUGAUCCCGCGUUGUAUUAGCUAGUUGGUGAGGUAAAGGCUCACCAAGGCGAUGAUACAUAGCCGACCUGAGAGGGUGAUCGGCCACAUUGGGACUGAGACACGGCCCAAACUCCUACGGGAGGCAGCAGUAGGGAAUCUUCGGCAAUGGACGAAAGUCUGACCGAGCAACGCCGCGUGAGUGAAGAAGGUUUUCGGAUCGUAAAACUCUGUUGGUAGAGAAGAACGUUGGUGAGAGUGGAAAGCUCAUCAAGUGACGGUAACUACCCAGAAAGGGACGGCUAACUACGUG